rnacentral:rRNA from 1 species
GCGACUAAGCGUACACGGUGGAUGCCCUGGCAGUCAGAGGCGAUGAAGGGCGUGCUAAUCUGCGAUAAGCGCCGGUAAGGUGAUAUGAACCGUUAUAACCGGCGAUACCCGAAUGGGGAAACCCAGUGUGAUUCGUCACACUAUCAUUAACUGAAUCCAUAGGUUAAUGAGGCGAACCGGGGGAACUGAAACAUCUAAGUACCCCGAGGAAAAGAAAUCAACCGAGAUUCCCCCAGUAGCGGCGAGCGAACGGGGAGGAGCCCAGAGCCUGAAUCAGCAUGUGUGUUAGUGGAAGCGUCUGGAAAGGCGCGCGAUACAGGGUGACAGCCCCGUACACAAAAGCGCAUGUGCUGUGAGCUCGAUGAGUAGGGCGGGACACGUGGUAUCCUGUCUGAAUAUGGGGGGACCAUCCUCCAAGGCUAAAUACUCCUGACUGACCGAUAGUGAACCAGUACCGUGAGGGAAAGGCGAAAAGAACCCCGGCGAGGGGAGUGAAAAAGAACCUGAAACCGUGUACGUACAAGCAGUGGGAGCACCCUUUGGGUGUGACUGCGUACCUUUUGUAUAAUGGGUCAGCGACUUAUAUUCUGUAGCAAGGUUAACCGAAUAGGGGAGCCGGAGGGAAACCGAGUCUUAAUUGGGCGUUAAGUUGCAGGGUAUAGACCCGAAACCCGGUGAUCUAGCCAUGGGC